GCUCCAGAGCAGCUCCUGCAUCCUCUAAAGCACCCAUGGGAGAUGCACCUCUGCUCUGUCCCCUCCCCAGAGGAGCCCAUUCCCGUGAUAUCCAUAUCGGGAUCCCCCCCCCGCCCUCGGCAUUUAAAGCAGCUAUAAUUAGAUGGGAUCCGGCCCGGCUCAGUUGUCCUGCCCGGGACACGAUUCCAGACACACGGCGUCUCCCAGUCCCGCUUCCCACAGCCUCCACCACGGAGCCGGCCCCGGACAGCCCCACACUGGCAUUGAGGGCCCUCAGGUCCUGGCCGGCAGAGCGGUUGGAGGUGGUUCCAGUUGGGAAGUGAACCGGAUGAUGGACUCAGGGAAAAGGAACGCUGACCUUGGUGAGUGGUUUUCCCUCUUCCCAGGCUCAGGAAUCCUGGAGCAGUUUGGGUUGGAAGGGACCCUCCAAGGUGGAAUGAGUUGGAAGGGACCGUCCAGUAUGGAAGGGGUUGGAAGGGACCAUCCAGCAUGGAAGGGGUUGGUAGGGACCCUCCAAGAUGGAAGGGGUUGGACGGGACCAUCCAGCAUUUAAGGGG